CCUACGGGUCGCAGCAGUAGGGAAUAUUGGGCAAUGGACGCAAGUCUGACCCAGCCACGCCGCGUGCAGGAAGACGGCCCUCUGGGUUGUAAACUGCUUUUGACUGGGAAGAAAAGACUCCUUGCGAGGAGAGUUGACGGUACCAGCAGAAUAAGCCACGGCUAACUACGUGCCAGCAGCCGCGGUAAUACGUAGGUGGCGAGCGUUAUCCGGAUUUAUUGGGUUUAAAGGGUGCGUAGGCGGCUGAUUAAGUCAGCGGUGAAAGGUAGCAGCUUAACUGUUUUACAUGCCGUUGAUACUGGUUAGCUUGAGUUAACAGAAGGCAAAUAGAAUUUCUGGUGUAGCGGUGAAAUGCUUAGAUACCAGGAGGAAUACCGAUUGCGAAGGCAGUCUGCUGCAGUUACACUGACUCUGAGGCACGAAAGUGCGGGGAUCAAACAGGAUUAGAUACCCGCGUAGUC
rnacentral:rRNA from 1 species